rnacentral:tRNA from 1 species
UUUGAAUAGUUUAAUUUAUGAAUUUUAACUUGUGGUGUUAAAGGUAUCUUUAUGGAUUUCAAAUAA